rnacentral:rRNA from 1 species
AAUACGUUCCCGGGCCUUGUACACACCGCCCGCCAAGUCACGAAAGUCGGUAACACCCGAAGCCGGUGGCCCAACCCUUGUGGGGGGAGCCGUCGAAGGUGGGACUGGCGAUUGGGACU